UCCCUGGAGGACUAGUGGUUAGGACACAGCACUCUUACCACUACAGCCCAGGUUCGAUUCCCAGCCAGGAAC